rnacentral:rRNA from 1 species
AUUGAACGCUGGCGGCAUGCCUUACACAUGCAAGUCGAACGGUAACAGGUCUUCGGAUGCUGACGAGUGGCGAACGGGUGAGUAAUACAUCGGGACGUGCCCGAGAGUGGGGGAUAACGAGGCGAAAGCUUUGCUAAUACCGCAUACGAUCUCAGGAUGAAAGCAGGGGACCGCAAGGCCUUGCGCCCACGGAGCGGCCGAUGGCAGAUUAGGUAGUUGGUGGGAUAAAAGCUUACCAAGCCGACGAUCUGUAGCUGGUCUGAGAGGACGACCAGCCACACUGGGACUGAGACACGGCCCAGACUCCUACGGGAGGCAGCAGUGGGGAAUUUUGGACAAUGGGCGCAAGCCUGAUCCAGCCAUGCCGCGUGCAGGAUGAAGGCCUUCGGGUUGUAAACUGCUUUUGUACGGAACGAAAAGACUCUGGUUAAUACCUGGGGUCCAUGACGGUACCGUAAGAAUAAGCACCGGCUAACUACGUGCCAGCCGCCGCAGUAAUAC